UACGAGUGGCCCGAGCGUUAAUCGGAAUCACUGGGCUUAAAGGGUGCGCAGGCGGACCGGAAGGCAUCUUGUGAAAUCCCCCGGCUCAACCGGGGAACAGCGGGGUGAACCAACGGUCUUGAGGCAGGUAGGGGUCAGCGGAACCAUCGGUGGAGCGGUGAAAUGCGUAGAGAUCGAUGGGAACGCCAAUGGCGAAGGCAGCUGACUGGGCCUGUCCUGACGAUCAGGCACGAAAGAGUGGGGAGCAAACAGG
rnacentral:rRNA from 1 species